rnacentral:rRNA from 1 species
AUUGAACGCUAGCGGGAUGCUUUACACAUGCAAGUCGAACGGCAGCGCGGACUUCGGUCUGGCGGCGAGUGGCGAACGGGUGAGUAAUGUAUCGGAACGUGCCCAGUAGCGGGGGAUAACUACGCGAAAGCGUAGCUAAUACCGCAUACGCCCUACGGGGGAAAGCAGGGGAUCGUAAGACCUUGCACUAUUGGAGCGGCCGAUAUCGGAUUAGCUAGUUGGUGAGGUAACGGCUCACCAAGGCGACGAUCCGUAGCUGGUUUGAGAGGACGACCAGCCACACUGGGACUGAGACACGGCCCAGACUCCUACGGGAGGCAGCAGUGGGGAAUUUUGGACAAGGGGGGCAACCCUGAUCCAGCCAUCCCGCGUGUGCGAUGAAGGCCUUCGGGUUGUAAAGCACUUUUGGCAGGAAAGAAACGUCGCGGGCUAAUACCCCGUGGAACUGACGGUACCUGCAGAAUAAGCACCGGCUAACUACGUG